rnacentral:miRNA from 1 species
AACCUUCCGGUCGAUGGAGUUAUUAUGCCUCAUCGACUGGAAGGGAUUCCUUCCAGUCGAUGAGGCUGUUACACCUCAUUGAUCAGAAGGAAUUCCUUCCGGUCAAUGGGGUUGUUACACCUCAUCAACCGGAAGGAAUCCCUUCCGGUCGAUGAGGUUGUUAUACCUCAUUGACCAGAAGGAU